rnacentral:rRNA from 1 species
GACGAACGCUGGCGGCGUGCUUAACACAUGCAAGUCGAACGGAAAGGCCCUUCGGGGUACUCGAGUGGCGAACGGGUGAGUAACACGUGGAUGAUCUGCCCUGCACUUUGGGAUAAGCCUGGGAAACUGGGUCUAAUACCGAAUAUGAUCAUCAGCUUCAUGGUUGGUGGUGGAAAGCUUUUGCGGUGUGGGAUGGGCCCGCGGCCUAUCAGCUUGUUGGUGGGGUAAUGGCCUACCAAGGCGACGACGGGUGGCCGGCCUGAGAGGGUGACCGGCCACACUGGGAGUGAGAUACGGCCCAGACUCCUACGGGAGGCAGCAGUGGGGAAUAUUGCACAAUGGGCGCAAGCCUGAUGCAGCGACGCCGCGUGAGGGAUGACGGCCUUCGGGUUGUAAACCUCUUUCAGCACAGACGAAGCGCAAGUGACGGUAUGUGCAGAAGAAGGACCGGCCAACUACGUGCCAGCCGCCGCCGUAA